rnacentral:rRNA from 1 species
CGUAAUAACAGAAACUAACCAGGAUUCCCUUAGUAACGGCGAGUGAACUGGGAUACCAAUAUAUUUAUGCGUCUCUGGCGCAUAUUUUUAGCCCGUCGAUACUAUCCUAGCGUAUUACCGGUUUCGGCCGGCAGCCCAAUACGCGGGAAUUGUAGCAUCGUAAUAAAAUAUACACCAUGCCUGCGUCGCAAACGUAUAUACACGUAUACUCACACACACACAUACUCUCGUACGCGUACACACCCCUUGCAAACACACAGCGCUCCCGCGUUGGAAAGCAAGUCUAUAUCCUCUUUGGAUAUGCCAUAGAGUGUGACAGCCACGUUUGAAACACCCUACGUACCGUACACACACAUACGUAAUACCGCUGCUUCGCAUACGCAUACCGUAUAUAACCUGAGUCGAGUUAUUU